AUUGAACGCUGGCGGCAUGCUUUACACAUGCAAGUCGAACGGCAGCACGGGGGCAACCCUGGUGGCGAGUGGCGAACGGGUGAGUAACACAUCGGAACGUGUCCAGUUGUGGGGGAUAACCCAUCGAAAGGUGGGCUAAUACCGCAUGAGCUGGCAACAGGAAAGCGGGGGACCCGCAAGGGCCUUGUGCGAUUGGAGCGGCCGAUGUCCGAUUAGCUAGUUGGUGGGGUAAAGGCCUACCAAGGCUUCGAUCGGUAGCUGGUCUGAGAGGAUGAUCAGCCACACUGGGACUGAGACACGGCCCAGACUCCUACGGGAGGCAGCAGUGGGGAA
rnacentral:rRNA from 1 species